UUCAGCUUUAACUUCUAUCAUUGAACAGCCUGUUGGUUAUUCUCAUGUGCUGCGAAUCGGACCCUAUGUGAUAACACGAAGAAGUUUUGAAUGUCUCAAGUCUUCUCUCUCAGAUGAAUUGGUAGACGCUUGCCUCCACAUCGCCACAAUUGAAUCUAGCAAUGUUUACCAUGUGGACUGUAUCAAUGCAACACUUAUCUUCACUGGAGAUUUUGAAAGGACUGGAUACCUUGCAUCAGUCAAUUUCGAUGUGUUUGAUACGGUUGUCGGAGCCGUUAACGAAAAUGGCAAUCACUGGAUCUUAGUGUGCAUUUCUGAAUGAGAGGUUCA